GACGAACGCUGGCGGCGUGCUUAACACAUGCAAGUCGAACGGAAAGGCCCUGCUUUUGUGGGGUGCUCGAGUGGCGAACGGGUGAGUAACACGUGAGUAACCUGCCCUUGACUUUGGGAUAACUUCAGGAAACUGGGGCUAAUACCGGAUAGGAGCUCCUGCUGCAUGGUGGGGGUUGGAAAGUUUCGGCGGUUGGGGAUGGACUCGCGGCUUAUCAGCUUGUUGGUGGGGUAGUGGCUUACCAAGGCUUUGACGGGUAGCCGGCCUGAGAGGGUGACCGGCCACAUUGGGACUGAGACACGGCCCAGACUCCUACGGGAGGCAGCAGUGGGGAAUAUUGCACAAUGGGCGGAAGCCUGAUGCAGCAACGCCGCGUGCGGGAUGACGGCCUUCGGGUUGUAAACCGCCUUCGCCUGUGACGAAGCGUGAGUGACGGUAAUGGGUAAAGAAGCACCGGCUAACUACGUG
rnacentral:rRNA from 1 species